ACGGGUGUUAGCCUGGCACUCUCUGCGAACACACGUGGCUUCAUACAUACAGAGGGGAAGGUCUGAGGAACCAGCGGGAGCUGAAAAGCUAAUCGUAGCAAAUACGAAAAACGCUCAACAGAAAACAGCUACGCUUGAAAGUGGCGUUAUGGUCAUGGCGUUACGCCUUUAGUCAAAUUGCCGGGGCUCUUGUAACUCAAUUCAGACUACUCAAUGCCCGU
rnacentral:RNase_P_RNA from 1 species